CCCCACCUCCUCACCCAGCCUCUGGUAGCCAUCAUUCUACUCUCUACUUCUUUUUUUGAGGAACUUCCAUUCAGUUUCCCAUAAUGGCUGUGAGUCUGGAGUUUGUUCCUGCCGGUGGGUUCGUGGUCUCGCUGACUUCAAGAAUGAAGCUGCAGACGUUCGUGAGGAGAAAGCUGAAGCACCAGAUGGUUAAAAGGACUGUUCAAGACAGCCUUGCAAUUUUGACCAAGGAAGAAAGCUGAAGAGUGCUAGGGCAAGAGAGGAACUACGUCCAGAACAAUUCAUAAUUCCAAAUUCUCACUUCCAUGAUUUCAAUGCUGAAUGUGUACUUCUCUAGCUAAAAAUACAAUUGCUUAAGUAAAAUCAUCAUUAUUUACAGUCUUGCUGAAUUGUGGUGUUGUUAUUAACCAGAAACAACAGCUUAAGUCAUUGUGUUUUGAAAUACUUGAUUUAUUAUCCUGAUUGUUUGAAAAUGCUACCUGAAAUUUUUCCUGGCACUUUUGAGUCAUUCUCACCAGGUACACACAUCUGGUGUUUCUCCAUGACACAGUAGCUGUUCC
rnacentral:lncRNA from 1 species